rnacentral:snoRNA from 1 species
CUUUAUUGAUGACCUCUCAUUUGUGUCACUGUGUCUGGGUCAUAGAAGCCUUUUGAUGGAGCCUAAGAGAUAAAAUUCCAAGAGUUAAAG